rnacentral:lncRNA from 1 species
CAGGGAUACUGGAGUGAUGGAGGUAGAUAUGUAGAGGAGACAGGGAUACUGGAGUGAUGGAGGUAGAUAUGUAUAGGGGGAAGGGGACAGGGAUACUGGAGUGAUGGAGGUAGAUAUGUAUAGGGGGAAGGGGACAGGGAUACUGGAGUGAUGGAGGUAGAUAUGUAUAGGGGGAAGGGGACAGGGAUACUGGAGUGAUGGAGGUAGAUAUGUAUAGGGGACAGGGAUACUGUAGUGAUGGAGGUAGAUAUGUAUAGGGGACAGGGAUACUGGAGUGAUGGAGGUAGAUAUGUAUAGGGGGAAGGGGACAGGGAUACUGGAGUGAUGGAGGUAGAUAUGUAUAGGGGACAGGGAUACUGGAGUGAUGGAGGUAGAUGUGUAUAGGAGACAGGGAUACUGGAGUGAUGGAGGUAGAUAUGUAUAGGGGACAGGGAUACUGGAGUGAUGGAGGUAGAUAUGUAUAGGGGGAAGGGGACAGGGAUACUGGAGUGAUGGAGGUAGAUGUGUAUAGGAGACAGGGAUACUGGAGUGAUGGAGGUAGAUAUGUAUAGGAGACAGGGAUACUGGAGUGAUGGAGGUAGAUAUGUAUAGAGGACAGGGAUACUGGAGUGAUGGAGGUAGAUAUGUAUAGAGGACAGGGAUACUGGAGUGAUGGAGGUAGAUGUGUAUAGGGGACAGGGAUACUGGAGUGAUGGAGGUAGAUGUGUAUAGGGGACAGGGAUACUGGAGUGAUGGAGGUAGAUAUGUAUAGGGUACAGGGAUACUGGAGUGAUGGAGGUAGAUAUGUAUAGGGGGAAGGGGACAGGGAUACUGGAGUGAUGGAGGUAGAUAUGUAUAGGGGAGAGGGAUACUGGAGUGAUGGAGGUAGAUAUGUAUAGGAGACAGGGAUACUGGAGUGAUGGAGGUAGAUAUGUAUAGGGGGAAGGGAUACUGGAGUGAUGGAGGUAGAUAUGUAUAGGGGACAGGGAUACUGGAGUGAUGGAGGUAGAUAUGUAUAGGAGACAGGGAUACUGGAGUGAUGGAGGUAGAUAUGUAUAGGGGGAAGGGAUACUGGAGUGAUGGAGGUAGAUAUGUAUAGGGGGAAGGGGACAGGGAUACUGGAGUGAUGGAGGUAGAUGUGUAUAGGGGACAGGGAUACUGGAGUGAUGGAGGUAGAUGUGUAUAGGGGACAGGGAUACUGGAGUGAUGGAGGUAGAUGUGUAUAGGGGGAAGGGGACAGGGAUACUGGAGUGAUGGAGGUAGAUAUGUAUAGGAGACAGGGAUACUGGAGUGAUGGAGGUAGAUAUGUAUAGGGGACAGGGAUACUGGAGUGAUGGAGGUAGAUAUGUAUAGGGGGAAGGGGACAGGG